rnacentral:rRNA from 1 species
CGGACGGGUGAGUAACACGUGGAUAACCUACCUAUAAGACCGGGAUAACUUCGGGAAACCGGAGCUAAUACCGGAUAAUAUUUUGAACCGCAUGGUUCAAAAGUGAAAGACGGUCUUGCUGUCACUUAUAGAUGGAUCCGCGCUGCAUUAGCUAGUUGGUAAGGUAACGGCUUACCAAGGCAACGAUGCAUAGCCGACCUGAGAGGGUGAUCGGCCACACUGGAACUGAGACACGGUCCAG